rnacentral:rRNA from 1 species
UUGAAACCCAGGGAUUAGAUACCCUGUUACACUUUAUUUAAAUUUAUUUACCUGGGUAAUAAACAGUUAUUGUCUUGAAACUCAAAGGAUUUGGCGGUAAUUUAGUCUAUUUAGAGGAACCUGCCCCUGUAAUCGAUAAACCACGGAAAAUCUUAUCUCAUUUAGUAGAAUAUCAGUUUGUAUACCGUCAUUAUCAGAUAACUUUAAUAGAAGUUAGUUAUUGUAAUAAUUGUUUUAAUAUAUUAGAUCAAGGUGCAGCUAAUAAUGAGAGAGAGGUGGGUUACAAUAAAACUUAUUUAUACGGACCAAGAAUUGUAAUAUUUUUGUGAAGGUGGAUUUAAUAGUAAAGAAGGUUUAAUAUGCCUUUUUGAUUUCAGCUCUAGAUUAUGUACAUAUCGCCCGUCGCUA